GAUUUCCUUCUCCGAACUGGCCAGCCAGCACAUGGCUGCUUGGGCUCCUGCCUUCCCUCCUGACAGGCCUGGGCUGAGGAGGGUGGGAGGAAGCAAUUCACCCAUCUGUGCUUCCAAGUAUGUGAGCACUCUAAAAGACUCAACAAGUGGUUCUGUAGUUAGAUGUAGAACUCACUUUAAUUCUUUAGAAUUCCCAACAGAAAAUUAGCUUAACUAGAAGUAACUUUUUGGUUUUUAUUUUAACUGGAAGUAGCUUUUUUUUCUUUAUUUUUUCUUUAUUUUUUCUUAUUUUUUUAAGAGAGUCUCGUUAGCCAUGUAUGGCCUAGAACUUGCUAUGUACACCAGGAUGGCCUCACAGAGAUCUGCCUGCCUCUCUGGAGUGUUUGGAUUAAAGGCUUUUGCCUUUAAAAAAAAAAAAAGAUUUUAAAGGUGCCAGUUAUUAGACUCUCAGGCCCCAUGACUGUGGGGAACAGUUUGGACUACACUGUCACCUUACACAGGUCUUGUGAAUGCCAUGCCACAGACUGAGAACAGAAAGUUUCCCAGCAUCUGAAUGUCACUAAUCAUUUGCAAUUUCUAGGUUAGCUUAAUAAUGGCAUUUCUCCUAACAACUGGAAUUUAGCUUCAGGUCCAUUUAUAAAUCAGGCUGUAAGAUCUGGAUUUGGAUAUCUUAGAAGCAAAGAAGAGUCUGAGAGAUGUUACUCUUUUGUCUCACCAAUGAUCAGAGCCAUGAAACUAAAGGAGUCCAUUUUAGAAUUCUGCUUUUAGAGUCUUUACAAUGAAGAGAACUGAUAAGGGUCAGCCAGUCCUGGGUGCUGGCUUAAGAGUCAGUCAAAGGGAGAGACUCGCUCUCUGCUCACUUCUGCCUGCAGCAGUUAUAAUUUUCUAUACCAAACUUUACUUAUAUAAUAAAAACUAUCAACAUUUGCAAACAAACCCUUUCUCUCUGUGCUCUGCUUUCUCGGUCAAACACGAGGGGGUAUAUCACCACCAUUUUCCAAAACGUCUAGAGAGAAAUAUAUCCCUAGACCACUUGGCUAUCAUUUGUCACUCAGCAGGCAGUGGGGACGGCAGGUCACCUGUCUCCAGCCCGCCCCUUCUACAGGCAUCCUGGCAAACACAUCCUCUGGUUGGGACAAGCAUGGUGCUAGCUAGCACUGCCAUUCUAGGAUCUGCAGUGGAGGUGUUUGCGAGCUCAGGGUUGGGGGCAGGGCCAGAGCAGACUGCUCACAGGGAACUGUCAUUCCUGGUUGGUGAUCAGGACAGAUUUUCAUGUAUCCACAGGCUAAGGUGACAGAGUUUCCUGAUGGCAUCACCAGUGCUUUAAUGAGAGGAGGGGCAUAUUUGCAGUUGGAAUUACAAUUUUCCUGCCAAAUUGUUUCUGUGCACUCGACUUUGGAAGCUGAUACAGAAGUAUGAGCACAGAGUUAGUGGGGUGACAACAGUGCCACCAGAGCUGUCCUCCUUGAUGGCAAGAGGAUUUGACUGGCAUAUGCUAAGUUUCCACUGUGACUUCUGUGCCCUUAAAAAUCCCAGAAGGGAGCCACACACACUGUUCUGGUUUCGCUGUUUGCCUAAGAUUUUGUUGUGUUCUCCCUCCGGAGCCUGCACUAAUACUUAGCUUUAACUGUCAAACUCGACCCCACCUAGAGUCAUCUAAGAAGGGAGUCUCAGUAAAGGACUAUGUAUGGGCAGGCAUGUCUGCUGAGGAUUGUCCUCAUGACUGAGUGACAAAGGAGAUCCUAGUCCUCUGUAGGCAGAAGCCUUACUCUCUGGCAGGUGAUCCUGAGCUGUGUGAGAAAGCUGACCUACCAUGAGCCUUUGUGUGAGCCAGCAAGUACCAUUGCUUCUGAUUUCUGCUUCAAGUUCUUGCCCUGGCUAGCUCAAUGACUGGCUAUGACCAGAGGUAAAUAAACCCUUUCCACCCUAUGAUGCUUUGGUCAGAAUGUUUUAACAUAGGGACAGGAAGAAAGCUAAGACAGAGAGCUCCAUUUCUGGAGGUCUGAACUUUGAACCCUGCAGCUACCUCAGUGUGCCUCUGUACCUGGAAAAUGAAUGAGACAACAUAAUUAAAGUCCCCUUGACUCGAAUCUGCUACAAUUAGAGGAAAGAUACUAGAACAGCAAUUGAUAGUUCAGCAAAUCAGUUGCUUGGUUAACUAGAUUUUCUUAUUACCUGCAUUUAGAAAUAAUGCUGUCACAUAGCUAUACUUCUCAGUAAAAUAAUUAUUAAAAGUAAAAAUGGUAGCUGGGUAGUGGUGGUAUACACCUUUAAUCCCAGCACUUUGGAGGCAGAGGCAAGUGGAUCUCUGAGUUUAGGGGCCAGCUUAAUCUACAGAGCUACUUCCAGGACAGCCAGGGCUACACAGAGAAACCUGUCUCAGAAAAUAGAUAGAUAGAUAGAUAGAUAGAUAGAUAGAUAGAUAGAUAGAUAGAUAGAUAGAUAGAUAGAUAGAUAAAAGGUUUGGUCGUUCAUACCUGUAGUCCUCGUAGUUGGGAGGCUGAGUCAGGGGGAUUGCUGCAAGUUCAAGGCCAGCCUGGGCCAGAGUUUGAGGCCAGCUUAGACUGGAGUGAGGUUCUGAGUCAAAAGCACUGUCCACAGCCCUCUCCAGGCAGUGGUAGCUAGAACUCUACAGCUAGCGGUAGUGUCUCGGCUGACCAGCUCUCCUGCAGGCUCUCUGCCACCCCAUCUCACUGUCAGCACUAGGAAACCUGCAUGCUUUGCUAACUUGAGGCUGAUGUCCUGCUGGCUACCCCCACCUGUGAGCCCUGGUUGUAAGGGUAACCUGUGCUCUCGGAGGAAGGAGAGGCUGGCUUUAUCCUGUACCAUCUUAGUGACUUAAAACACCAAAUUCAACUUAGAGUUCUGCAAAUUCUGAAAUGGAUCCCAAGGGUCAGCAGACCUGUGCCUUCUAGAAGUUCUCGGGGGACAUCCAGUUUUGUCAUUUCCGGCAUCCAAGGGCUCAUAGCAUUCCUCCUGGCAGUCUCUCUUGCAUUUCCCUGCCUCCCUCUCCUAUAGUAAAAAGGCUGCCUUUAUGUUAAGGACAGCUGGUUAGCAUCCUAACCUUAUCCAGACCUUAAUCUUUCCUUCCUUCCAUAAUCUACUGACAGGCUCCAAGGCUUACAUAGACAUCUUUGGGGGGGAAUUCAUGUCCGCAUCCUACCAUGGGCUAAGGUGGGUGUAAGAGAGGGACGGGUGUGCAACUCUCCUAGAAUUGAUGCCACAGUUCGGCCUAAGCUGCCCCUUCAGACAUCUUUUUGCCCCGUGCAGGGGACACUUAGACUUCUGGGACAGAUAUUUUGGAAAAUGAGUAUCAAGAAUGUCUCUAGAGAGAAAUUAGUCUCCAAGGAUCCUGAAAACAUCUAUGACUGUGGACCAAAUUAAAUAGGAAGCCUGUAGUGGUGUAUGGGCAGUUACCAACACUGGAGUGAAUGGGCGGGGUUAUAGCUCAGAAGCAGGGUGGUUGGAUUAGCAAGCUUGAAACCCUGGGUUAAAUCCCCAGAACCAUUUAGGUUAAAAAAAUAAAUAAAUCUGGGGCUGGAGAGAUAGCUCAGUGGUUAAGAGCACUGACUGCUCUUCCAGAGGUCCUGAAUUUCAAUUCCCAGGAACCAUGUGAUAGCACACAACCAUCUGUAAUGGGAUUCUUCUGGUGUGUCAGCUACAAUGUACUCAUAUACAUAAAUAAAUCUAUUUUGU
rnacentral:lncRNA from 1 species